rnacentral:misc_RNA from 1 species
GUAAAGUUGCCAUAAGUGGGUGUUUAGAGUAUGUGUGUUCCCUUUUCUCCU